AAGGGAUGGAUCAAGGAGAGGAAUUGAGGAAGGACAGAGAGCAGGAGCAUAUGGACAGAGGAGAGGCAGAAGCCGGGCUCUGCAGGGCUGUGGAAGCUGGAGGAGUAGGUUGUCCCAGAGUCCCGUACCCCUGGGGAUCCAGGAAGUUACACUGAGGUGAGGCCAACUGCUCUGUGUGUGGAAGCCAGAGAAGAAAGCAGCACAGAACAGAUGCAAACCAAGGAGGCUGGAAGAUAAGAGCAGAGCCAUCAGGACACGAGCCCCUCGCGGCAUUUCAGAGCUUCCUGUGUGCAGCAUGGAUCUAAAGCUGGUGGAUGCAGGGGGGUGAACAAGACAACAUCUUCACUUCCUGCAUGCUGAUGGCAGAAGUGAGACAUCAGCGAAGAAACAUCACGAUCACCAAAUUACGAUGAACACCAUGGAGGAAACAAAGGACACUGUGACACCAAGGAAGGAAGGGAGGUUACUUUUCAUAGUGGCUGUAAAUAGAACUGAAGGCUGAAAAACAGCUGUUAAAAUGGCUUGUUUGUUUGAAGAUGAAUGAGAGUACACAAUAAAAGGAAAAAAAUUUGGACACAGACACACACAGAGGGAUGACCACGUGGAGAUGCAGGGAGAGGAUAGCAGCUACAGGCCAGGGCGAGAGGCCUCAGAGGAAACCAGUCCUGCUGACUCUUUGAACUCGGACUUCCAGCCUCCAGAACUGUGAGAAAAUAAAUUUCUGUUUUAAGUCA
ensembl:lncRNA LINC02611 long intergenic non-protein coding RNA 2611